rnacentral:rRNA from 1 species
CCGAGUUGUAAUUUGUAGAAGAUGCUUUGGGUUGUGGGUUCGGCCUAAGUUCCUUGGAACAGGACGUCAUAGAGGGUGAGAAUCCCGUAUGUGGCCGAGGCCCGCGCCUAUGUAAAGCUCUUUCAACGAGUCGAGUUGUUUGGGAAUGCAGCUCAAAAUGGGUGGUAAAUUUCAUCUAAAGCUAAAUAUGGGCCAGAGACCGAUAGCGCACAAGUAGAGUGAUCGAAAGAUGAAAAGCACUUUGGAAAGAGAGUUAAACAGUACGUGAAAUUGUUGAAAGGGAAGCGCUUGCACCCAGACUUGGGCGCUGCUGAUCACCUUGAGGUCUCCUCGAGUGCACUCGACAGCGCACAGGCCAGCAUCGGUUCGGGUGGCUGGAUAAAGGCCGUAGGAACGUAGCUCCUUUCGGGGAGUGUUAUAGCCUACGGUGCCAUGCAGCCCAGCCGGACCGAGGACCGCGCCUUCGGGCUAGGAUGCUGGCGUAAUGGGUGUAAGCGACCCGUCUUG